GGUGAUUAUUGUGGAGGUGUUACACCCGUUCCCAUACCGAACACGGAAGUUAAGCCCUCUAACGUCGAUGAUACUACCGCUCUAAGCGGUGGGAAAGUAGAUAGUUGCCU
rnacentral:rRNA from 1 species